AUGGCGUCGACGGCGGCUUUCGAGAAGGAUUGCCGGAUGCCGGAGGAGGCAGAGGCCGAUGCGCUGCUGGUACAGAAGGUGGGCGUGCUGCCCUUCGGGUUCUACGACGCCUUCGUGCUCCGCGACAUCCGCGUCCACGCCGUCUGGCCCAGCCGCCUCCUCUGCCACUUCACCGUCACCACCCGCCUCCUCGUGAGCCCCCCUCCCACCUGCAGCCAGAUCUAA
rnacentral:rRNA from 1 species